rnacentral:rRNA from 1 species
UACGUAGGGUGCGAGCGUUGUCCGGAAUUACUGGGCGUAAAGAGCUCGUAGGUGGUUUGUCGCGUUGUUCGUGAAAACUCACAGCUUAACUGUGGGCGUGCGGGCGAUACGGGGCAGACUGGAGUACUGCAGGGGAGACUGGAAUUCCUGGUGUAGCGGGUGAAAAUGCGCAGAUAUCAGGAGGAACACCCGGUGGGCGAAGGCGGGUCUCUGGGCCGAUAC